AUAGAGCAUCUCUUGAUCCCUUUGGUCAGGGACGACCAUUGGCAUCUUGUAGAAGUUGACCUUAAAGAUAAAGUCGUCAAGCAUUACAGCUCCGCUGGGCACGAAGCUUGGAUGGAGCCUGUUAAUAAAAUCAUAAACUUCUUUGAUGCCCAUCAUGCUGAUUUUAUUGAAGACAAUGUGCGCCAAAUAUUUAGAUAUCAAGCCAUCAAAUGCGAGCAACAAAGAGGACGCUUUGACUGUGGUGUGUUCGUCUACCUCUUUGUAAAAUCCAUAAUUGAAGGACGAUCAACAUUGCUGGUUAAUCCUCCGAACGAUAUCCCUGAAGCUAUGCGAGCAAGACUUGCCGCACAAUUAUUACUGGCUGGUUUUGAACAAAGACAUAAAGAAGAAACAGUGUACAGUGAUGAAUGAUAUGUUCAUACAAAUACAAUAAUGUAUGUAUAUUUAAGUAAUUGAAAAUGAUUGUUAUCAGAUGUAUUGUUCUAUCUGUACCAUGUUCGUUCUA